UCUAGUCUCUGGACUCUGGAGCCUCCCCGCACUUCUGAAAAGAAAGAGCAAGCCUCUCGACACUUGCAUUUUCAGUCCAACCCAUUAGAGCCCUCUCUGCUGUGCGCCCUCCAUCUUCAUCUUUCAUUUUCAGUCCCAGCUCCCUCCUUUCAGUCUCUUGCUCGGUAAGUGUAUGCUGUAAUUUUUGUUUUUAAUUCCUAUUGUAUUUAUGGGUUUCCUGAAUAAUCAAAUAUUGUCUGUUUCCAAAGGAAAAAAGAAGAAUUGAAAAUUGUUUGAUUAUAAUUUGAAAAUCAGCAAGCAUGUUUUUAUUUUUGUUUCAUUAUUAGUAUUGAUUGGAAAAUUGGCCGCCACCAACUUCCUCUUGCCCCAUUCACCCAUCGAGCAGUGAAAUUUUUAAGUAUUAUUUGGUAUAUAUGCUUUUGUAUCUGGUUUUUAUGUUUUUGGUUCUUGUGUUUGAUUUGUAAGGAUUGAUUUUUUAGUGUGUUUUUGGUUAGUGAUUAUCACACAUUUGCAAUUAUUUGUUUGGGUUAAAUCUGCUGCCCAAACCAAUCAAACUGCCCAAAAGGGAUUGUGUUUAUAGGUUCAAGUGUGCGGUCGGGGCUCGAACCAAACUAAUGCGUUCCUUGCCCACCCAUUGAUUAUGGGAUGUAGCUUAUUUUUGGUUGCUAGAUGUCCAACACUCCUUUCUUUUGAUACUUGAAAAUGUAACAGUAGGAUUUGGAUUGUUUAGAUGUCUUCCUCUUUUUCUUUUCCUUUUGGUUUAUAAAGAACAAAACAAAGUCUGCUUAUCUGAAAACAAAAUUAUUUCACUGGGUGGCAGUAAGAAUCAAGUGAAAGGUCAUCUGUACGAUGAUUGGAUGAUCAAUUCAGAUCAUUCUUAAAAGUGCUUAUUUGUCUAAGAGGUACUUUGUGUCAUUACUGAUAUUUAUAUUUGAAAGCUGUAUACUUUGUUUUUAUGAAAAAACUGCAAGGGGCAUAUUUAAGAUGUGCAGAAACCAUUAUCCAAAGAUAAUGUGUCAUGCCCUCUUUCGAAUAACAGUGACAAAUGUUUUUGCAUUAUAAUUUUCUCAAAUUUCGAUGUGUAAAUUAAUUAUGUAAUAAUUGAAAAAUAUUCUCAGAUAGAAAUGAUUUCUUAAUCAUAUCUUGCAACUUGAGUAUCUGCAACUCCAUAGCUGUGUCCUCUUCUUCAACUUCAAUGUGUAGAUUUUGUUUAUAAGGUUGGACAGUUAUAAUUGCCAACUUAGUAGCAGCAUAAGCUUAGCUAAGAUGUCUUUCGUCUUUUUAACUCUGCCUAUAAUAGAGCAGGUUUUCUCUUUGUUGUCGAUCGAGGAUAACUUAUCCUCUUGAUUAUUAAUACAAAAGUUUGUAUUAAAAAAAAAAUAUAGUAGCAGCAAAACCUAAAUAAAAAUCAACCUUCUUGGCCACUUACUGAAAUGAUGAGGUGAUUCUUUACCACAGAGAAUAACUUAUAAUUUUAAUUCUAAGUUUGAACCAUACUGCACCUAUACUUCAAACUUUUUCCAGUGGAGGUAUCAAAUAUAGAUACGGAUAUGAUAAUACAUGCUGGGAAAUGAAGUAUUGUUAACUUUUCUAUUUUGCUGGAUACGGUGUCGAUACAGAACUGAUACUCACAGGAAACUGUCCCAAUACGGUCAAGAUACGGCUAGUGGUUAUUUAGAAAUUGUUUGAAAAUUUAUGUGGUAUUUUUUAAUAUUAUAACAAAUAUGGGGUCGAAAUGUGAAUUUUAAAACUUGGCCAGAUCACACCCAGCCUAUUUUUCUCAACAGAAAGAGGAAAAGCUAGGUUUUCACAUUUGAAAAGAAACUGUGGCACCAACCAAUUCAAAGAUCCAGAAGGAAGAAGGAAGAAGAAAGAAAUUUCAAAAGGACCUCUUCUUCUCCACUGA
rnacentral:lncRNA from 1 species